UGUUUUGAAAGUUUACAGAGAAGUUCUUCAAGAUCUCUCAGGGCUCCUGGUUCCAAGGGGGCAGCAAAAGGCAUUUCAGAGUCAAAAUGUCUGAGAGCUGAGGCAGCCUGAGGGAUGCACAUGCAUUGACCACCGGUGAGUCUAACCAGACCCGGGACUGUGGGUCAGCCCUAAAGAGGAAGGAGAGCCUCGUAUACAUUAGACGUUCCUCCAGAGCUCUGGGCCACCAGGAGCUGACUGGUCUCAAAAGGACAAACAGCGUAUGCAUCUACUUUCUGAGGACCCUAGAGUCUCAGGCCUACUGAGGCAGACAGCAGGAUGAAGCACCUAGACUGCAGAGGAGCCUACAGUGCGUGACAGGUGGACUGCACACUGUGUUAGCUGUGGAGUUGCAUUCCCGGAGGACAGACAUUCCUUGGGGACAUCUGCAGAAAGACACCCUCAGUUCUUCCUGCCAGACUUUUCCUGCCAUCAGCAGCAGAAGAUGUCCAGCAAGGCGUGAUGCCACUCCAAACCACAUCAGGCAGCAUCAUGAUCCAAGAUCUGAAACAGUGUUCUGGCCACACAGCUGUCAAUAGCCUCACUGGCAUCUCAGAGAGUGUCAGGUGAUUAUCAUUUAAUACACGAUAUUUACUAUCUUUUCCUC